rnacentral:rRNA from 1 species
AACGAACGCUGGCGGCAUGCUUAACACAUGCAAGUCGAACGGAAAGACCCUGCUUUUGUGCGGUUCUCGAGUGCCGAACGGGUGAGUGACACGUGUGUAACCUGCCCUUGACUUUGGGAUAACUUCACGAAACUGGGCCUAAUCCCGGAUCGCAUCUCCUGCUGCAUGGUGGGGGGUGGAUAGUUUCGGCUGUCGGGGAUGGAUGAGCGGGUUAUCGGCUUGUUGGUGGGGUAGUUGCUUGCCAAGGCUUUGACGGAUAGCCGGCAUGAGAGGGUGACCGGCGACCUUGCUCCUGAGAUACGGCGCAGACGCGAACGUGAGGCAGUAGUGGGGAGCCUGGUACAAUGGGCGGACGUGGGAUGCAGCAGCGUCGCGUGCGGGAUGCCGGCCUUCUGGUUGUGAACCGCAUUAGCCUGAUACGACGCGUGAGUGACGGUAAUGGGUAAAGAAGCACCGGCUAACUACGUG